rnacentral:rRNA from 1 species
AUUGAACGCUGGCGGCAGGCCUAACACAUGCAAGUCGAACGGUAACAGGUCUUCGGAUGCUGACGAGUGGCGAACGGGUGAGUAAUACAUCGGAACGUGCCCGAGAGUGGGGGAUAACGAGGCGAAAGCUUUGCUAAUACCGCAUACGAUCUCAGGAUGAAAGCAGGGGACCGCAAGGCCUUGCGCUCACGGAGCGGCCGAUGGCAGAUUAGGUAGUUGGUGGGAUAAAAGCUUACCAAGCCGACGAUCUGUAGCUGGGCUGAGAGGACGACCAGCCACACUGGGACUGAGACACCGCCCAGACUCCUACGGGAGGCAGCAGUGGGGAAUUUUGGACAGUGGGCGCAAGCCUGAUCCAGCCAUGCCGCGUGCAGGAUGAAGGCCUUCGGGUUGUAAACUGCUUUUGUACGGAACGAAAAUACUCUGGUUAAUACCUGGGGUCCAUGACGGUGCCGUAAGAAUAAGCACCGGCUAACUACGUGCCAGCCGCCGCAGUAAAAC